rnacentral:rRNA from 1 species
UACGAAGGGGGCGAGCGUUGUUCGGAAUUACUGGGCGUAAAGGGCGCGCAGGCGGCUCUGAAAGUCAGAUGUGAAAGCCCCGGGCUUAACCUGGGAAUUGCAUUUGAUACUCUGGAGCUUGAGUAUGGUAGAGGAAGGUGGAAUUCCCGGUGUAGCAGUGAAAUGCGUAGAGAUCGGGAGGAACACCAGUGGCGAAGGCGGCCUUCUGGACCAAUACUGACGCUCAUGCACGAAAGCGUGGGGAGCAAACAGG